rnacentral:rRNA from 1 species
AUUGAACGCUGGCGGCAGGCCUAACACAUGCAAGUCGAGCGGUAGAGGGAAGCUUGCUUCUCUUGAGAGCGGCGGACGGGUGAGUAAUGCCUAGGAAUCUGCCUGAUAGUGGGGGAUAACGUUCGGAAACGAACGCUAAUACCGCAUACGUCCUACGGGAGAAAGUGGGGGAUCUUCGGACCUCACGCUAUCAGAUGAGCCUAGGUCGGAUUAGCUAGGUGGUGAGGUAAAGGCUCACCAAGGCGACGAUCCGUAACUGGUCUGAGAGGAUGAUCAGUCACACUGGAACUGAGACACGGGCCAGACUCCUACGGGAGGCAGCAGUGGGGAAUAUUGGACAAUGGGCGAAAGCCUGAUCCAGCCAUGCCGCGUGUGUGAAGAAGGUCUUCGGAUUGUAAAGCACUUUAAGUUGGGAGGAAGGGUCGUUACCUAAUACGUGACGAUUUUGACGUUACCGACAGAAUAAGCACCGGCUAACUCUGUGCCAGCAGCCGCCGUAACAC